rnacentral:rRNA from 1 species
UACGUAGGCAGCGAGCGUUGUUCGGAGUUACUGGGCGUAAAGAGUGCGUUAGGCGGUUUUCUAAGUUUGGUGUGAAAUCUCCCGGCUUAACUGGGAGGGUGCGCCGAAGACUGGAAGGCUUGAGUAUGGGAGAGGUAAGCGGAAUUCCUGGAUGUAGCGGUGAAAUGCGUAGAUAUCAGGAGGAACACCGGUGGCGAAGGCGGGUCUCUGGGCCGUAACUGACGCUGAGACACGAAAGCGUGGGUAGCAAACAGG